rnacentral:rRNA from 4 species
GAACUUUCCAGAGAUGGAUUGGUGCCUUCGGGAACUGUGAGACAGGUGCUGCAUGGCUGUCGUCAGCUCGUGUUGUGAAAUGUUGGGUUAAGUCCCGCAACGAGCGCAACCCUUAUCCUUUGUUGCCAGCGGUCCGGCCGGGAACUCAAAGGAGACUGCCAGUGAUAAACUGGAGGAAGGUGGGGAUGACGUCAAGUCAUCAUGGCCCUUACGACCAGGGCUACACACGUGCUACAAUGGCGCAUACAAAGAGAAGCGACCUCGCGAGAGCAAGCGGACCUCAUAAAGUGCGUCGUAGUCCGGAUUGGAGUCUGCAACUCGACUCCAUGAAGUCGGAAUCGCUAGUAAUCGUGGAUCAGAAUGCCACGGUGAAUACGUUCCCGGGCCUUGUACACACCGCCCGUCACACCAUGGGAGUGGGUUGCAAAAGAAGUAGGUAGCUUAACCUUCGGGAGGGCGCUUACCACUUUGUGAUUCAUGACUGGGGUGAAGUCGUAACAAGGUAACCGUAGGGGAACCUGCGGUUGGAUCACCUCCUUACCUUAAAGAA